GACGAACGCUGGCGGCGUGCCUAACACAUGCAAGUUGAACGGAGAUACUUUUGAAGCUUGCGAUAAAGUAUCUUAGUGGCGGACGGGUGAGUAACGCGUGGGUAAUCUGCCCAUAAGUGGGGAACAACAGUUGGAAACGACUGCUAAUACCGCAUAAUCUGCCUUAGGGUAGGAAAGGUGGCCUCUUAACAAUGCUGCCGCUUAUGGAUGAGCCCGCGUCUGAUUAGCUAGUUGGUGGGGUAAAGGCCUACCAAGGCGACGAUCAGUAGCCGGCCUGAGAGGGUGAACGGCCACACUGGGACUGAGACACGGCCCAGACUCCUACGGGAGGCAGCAGUGGGGAAUAUUGCGCAAUGGGGGAAACCCUGACGCAGCGACGCCGCGUGAGCGAAGAAGGCCUUAGGGUUGUAAAGCUCUGUUUUAGGGACGAAUGUUCAUGGGAGAAAUAUGCCCGUGAAAUGACGGUACCUUAAGAGGAAGCCCCGGCUAACUACGUGCCAGCAGCCGCGGUAAACACG
rnacentral:rRNA from 1 species